rnacentral:rRNA from 1 species
AAGGGGGGAUUGGAAUGGGGGUAACCCUGAUCCAGCCAUGCCGCGUGUGUGAAGAAGGCCUUUUGGUUGUAAAGCACUUUAAGCAGUGAAGAAGACUCUUCGGUUAAUACCCGGAGACGAUGACAUUAGCUGCAGAAUAAGCACCGGCUAACUCUGUGCCAGCAGCCGCGGUAAUACAGAGGGUGCAAGCGUUAAUCGGAAUUACUGGGCGUAAAGCGAGCGUAGGUGGCUUGAUAAGUCAGAUGUGAAAUCCCCGGGCUUAACCUGGGAACUGCAUCUGAAACUGUUAGGCUAGAGUAGGUGAGAGGGAAGUAGAAUUUCAGGUGUAGCGGUGAAAUGCGUAGAGAUCUGAAGGAAUACCGAUGGCGAAGGCAGCUUCCUGGCAUCAUACUGACACUGAGGCUCGAAAGCGUGGGUAGCAAACAGGAUUAGAUACCCUGGUAGUCCACGCCGUAAACGAUGUCUACUAGUCGUUGGGUCCCUUGAGGACUUAGUGACGCAGCUAACGCAAUAAGUAGACCGCCUGGGGAGUACGGCCGCAAGGUUAAAACUCAAAUGAAUUGACGGGGGCCCGCACAAGCGGUGGAGCAUGUGGUUUAAUUCGAUGCAACGCGAAGAACCUUACCUGGUCUUGACAUAUCUAGAAUCCUGCAGAGAUGCGGGAGUGCCUUCGGGAAUUAGAAUACAGGUGCUGCAUGGCUGUCGUCAGCUCGUGUCGUGAGAUGUUGGGUUAAGUCCCGCAACGAGCGCAACCCUUGUCCUUAGUUACCAGCGGGUUAAGCCGGGAACUCUAAGGAUACUGCCCAGGUGACAAACUGGAG